GACGAACGCUGGCGGCGUGCUUAACACAUGCAAGUCGAACGGAGAAGCCCUGCCUUUGUGGUGUGCUCGAGUUGCGAACGGGUGAGUAACACGUAAGUAACCUGCCUUUGACCGUGGGAUAACUUCUGGAAACUAGAGCUAAUACCGCAUAAGAGCUGCUGCUGCAUGAUGUUUACUGGAAAGUUUCAGUGGUGUCGGUAGGACGUGGGGCUUAUCUGCAUGUUGGAGGGGUAGUGGAUUCCCCAGGCCUUGGCGGGUAGCCGGCCUGGGAGGGUGACCGGCCACAGUGGGACUGGGAUGCGGGCCGGACGGCUACGGGAGGCAGCGGUGGGGAAUAGUGCAAGAUGGGCGGAAGCAGGAUGGAGCAAUGCCGCGUGCGGGAUGACGGCCGUCGGGUUGUAAACCGUUUUCGCCUGUGACGAAGAGUGAGUGACGGUAAUGGGUAAAGAAGCAACGGCUAACUACGUG
rnacentral:rRNA from 1 species